GAUGAACGCUAGCGGCAGGCUUAAUACAUGCAAGUCGAGGGGCAGCAGGACUGUAGCAAUACAGUUGCUGGCGACCGGCAAACGGGUGCGGAACACGUACGCAACCUUCCUUUAAGUGAG
rnacentral:rRNA from 1 species